UGUUUUAGCGGCGGACGGGUGAGUAACGCGUGAACAAUCUGUCCCAAUCAGGGGAAUAACAACUGGAAACAGUUGCUAAUACCGCAUAAGACCACGGACCGGCAUCGGUUUGAGGUAAAAGGAGCAAUCCGGAUUGGGGUGAGUUCGCGUCCGAUUAGAUAGUUGGCGGGGUAACGGCCCACCAAGUCAGCGAUCGGUAGCCGACCUGAGAGGGUGAUCGGCCACAUUGGAACUGAGACACGGUCCAAACUCCUACGGGAGGCAGCAGUGGGGAAUAUUGGGCAAUGGGGGAAACCCUGACCCAGCAACGCCGCGUGAGGGAAGAAGGUUUUCGGAUUGUAAACCUCUGUCCUCAGGGACGAAGAAAGUGACGGUACAUGAGGAGGAAGCCCCGGCUAACUACG
rnacentral:rRNA from 1 species